rnacentral:rRNA from 1 species
GAUGAACGCUGGCGGCGUGCCUAAUACAUGCAAGUCGAGCGAACCACUUCGGUGGUGAGCGGCGAACGGGUGAGUAACACGUAGGUGAUCUGCCCAUCAGACGGGGACAACGAUUGGAAACGAUCGCUAAUACCGGAUAGGACGAAAGUUUAAAGGUGCUUCUGGCACCGCUGAUGGAUGAGCCUGCGGCGCAUUAGCUAGUUGGUAGGGUAAAGGCCUACCAAGGCGACGAUGCGUAGCCGACCUGAGAGGGUGAACGGCCACACUGGGACUGAGACACGGCCCAGACUCCUACGGGAGGCAGCAGUAGGGAAUCUUCGGCAAUGGGCGAAAGCCUGACCGAGCAACGCCGCGUGAAUGAUGAAGGCCUUCGGGUUAGU